rnacentral:rRNA from 1 species
CCUGGCGGCUUUAGCGCGGUGGUCCCACCUGACCCCAUGCCGAACUCAGAAGUGAAACGCCGUAGCGCCGAUGGUAGUGUGGGGUCUCCCCAUGUGAGAGUAG